rnacentral:rRNA from 1 species
UACGAAGGGGGCUAGCGUUGCUCGGAAUCACUGGGCGUAAAGCGCACGUAGGCGGAUCUUUAAGUCAGGGGUGAAAUCCUGGAGCUCAACUCCAGAACUGCCUUUGAUACUGGGGAUCUCGAGUCCGGAAGAGGUGAGUGGAACUCCGAGUGUAGAGGUGAAAUUCGUAGAUAUUCGGAGGAACACCAGUGGCGAAGGCGACUCGCUGGACAAGUAUUGACGCUGAGGUGCGAAAGCGUGGGGAGCAAACAGG